CCUACGGGGUGCACCAGUGGGGAAUAUUGCACAAUGGGCGCAAGCCUGAUGCAGCCAUGCCGCGUGUAUGAAGAAGGCCUUCGGGUUGUAAAGUACUUUCAGCGGGGAGGAAGGUGUUGUGGUUAAUAACCACAGCAAUUGACGUUACCCGCAGAAGAAGCACCGGCUAACUCCGUGCCAGCAGCCGCGGUAAUACGGAGGGUGCAAGCGUUAAUCGGAAUUACUGGGCGUAAAGCGCACGCAGGCGGUCUGUCAAGUCGGAUGUGAAAUCCCCGGGCUCAACCUGGGAACUGCAUUCGAAACUGGCAGGCUAGAGUCUUGUAGAGGGGGGUAGAAUUCCAGGUGUAGCGGUGAAAUGCGUAGAGAUCUGGAGGAACACCGGUGGCGAAAGCGGCUCUCUGGCCUGUAACUGACACUGAGGCUCGAAAGCGUGGGGAGCAAACAGGAUUAGAUACCCCAGUAGUC
rnacentral:rRNA from 1 species